CGACGAACUCCUAGAACCACUAGAAGAGGAGAUAUCGGAAGACAUUUUGGAUCAAAUAGAAGCCACAAAAAUCUCGAAAAAAAAAUCGAGAAAAACAACAAACAAGCUACUCGAGGAAGCUGAACGAACGGAAUACGAAGAAGAAAGAACAGAAAAAUGGCAAGAAGUUUCAUAACUAACCUAGGUUGGUCCGAGGAGUGCAGGA
rnacentral:lncRNA from 1 species